GAUGAACGCUAGCUACAGGCUUAACACAUGCAAGUCGAGGGGCAGCAUGAACUUAGCUUGCUAAGUUUGAUGGCGACCGGCGCACGGGUGAGUAACACGUAUCCAACCUUCCGUUUACUCAGGGAUAGCCUUUCGAAAGAAAGAUUAAUACCUGAUAGUAUGGUGAGAUUGCAUGAUAACACCAUUAAAGAUUUAUUGGUAAACGAUGGGGAUGCGUUCCAUUAGGUAGUAGGCGGGGUAACGGCCCACCUAGCCUGCGAUGGAUAGGGGUUCUGAGAGGAAGGUCCCCCACAUUGGAACUGAGACACGGUCCAAACUCCUACGGGAGGCAGCAGUGGGGAAUAUUGCACAAUGGGCGCAAGCCUGAUGCAGCGACGCCGCGUGAAGGAUGAAGUAUUUCGGUAUGUAAACUUCUAUCAGCAGGGAAGAAAAUGACGGUACCUGACUAAGAAGCCCCGGCUAACUACGUG
rnacentral:rRNA from 1 species